UUGUAUAUAAUCUUGUAUACAUGUAUAUCUAUGUAUGCAAAUAAAUAUAUUUUUUAGAAUCUACAUCUAAGCCUUUGUGAAAGUACAAAUUGUUUGACUGGACAAGUGUCAUCCUCCUGCAGGUCUUCAUUCAGCCUGUGUGACAGCAUGAGAUCGUAUUUCUGAUUGAUACCCACUGUACCCAAGCAGGCAUCCCUGCACGUGUGGCAGUCAGGUUGGCAGGACACAAUCGUUCCAGUACUGGGAAGACUGCUGGAAAGAUUAGUGGCAUCACGCUGGCACGGCAAUAAGGGGAGAGGGGGCAGGAAAGAGCCUUCUCCAGGCUGCUGACCAGACCUUAUCCGCUGACGGCAGAUGCUUGGUGGGGACGGCAUGGCCCUUCCUUCCCCCCUCUGAUGGGAAACACAGAGCACGUACGGGAAACACCCAUGGGGGUAACAGAAUGCAGAAGUGCAUCACAUGACCAUUGUAAGAUUUUCCCAUCCUGCCCAAGUUGUGACAGAGGACAUGAAAUCCUUGAGGACAAUGGAAAAGUCUGUGAAAAAAGGUUACCCCUCAGGAUUUUAUGGAUGAUUCAGUUUUCGCUUUUACUGUGGAGCUACGAGAAACAAAAACUAUAAAAAAGUGUUUUCCACAAUGUCAUGGGUUGGUAUGUUAGGUAGCCCUUAAUGUGUUCUGAUAAAUACACCACAAGUAAUUCUUGGGUGUGACACUUUUCUCUGCAAAACCACCAACAGCAUAUCCUUGUUUGUGAGUUCAGAGAUCUUAACAUAUCUAAAUGCAUCUCUAAAGAGUGCAGAUCAGUUAUUUUCUUCAUAUUUAACAAUAUGUAAUAUGUCUCACUGAUGAAAAUGGCUUGAGCCAUUGUAAUUCUGUGUUUAGUUUUGUGUUCAUGGCUUUUGUGUGUAUUUAAAAGAAAAAGCCACAAAAUUUAUUUUGAAAGAUGUGAAAACCCUUUGGUGAAUGUCAAGUAUCAGAGUAAAUAAUACUAUUAACUCCUUUCAAUUCUUAAGAGACUUUUUUGCUUUAAGUGCUUGAGUAAUGGGUUGUAUACUAUGCCAGAGGGUGCUGUUUAUGACAGUUUUAUUCUGCCCCCACUUAACGUUCUUUUUUCCUAUAAAGUGGCAAUGAAGUGUGGGAGAGUUCCACGGAGAUCCUUUAGUUGAGAGUUUCAGGACGAUAGUCCAUACAGUGGGGCAAAAUUUACACUUGGUGCCCCCUAGGACUAAUUUGCUGUCCUGCAGUGCCAGUUCUAAAGCCUUACUUGACCCUGCUAUUUUUAAGUUUGUCGGUUUUGAAAGAACUGAUUCACAUCAUUCAAACAGAUGUAUUCACAGGACUUCCUUUAAUAUCAAUGUUUUCCUCUCUUAAUACUGGAAAGUUGGACCAUGACCUUUUAAAAAAAAUUUCCUGUGGGCUUCAAUGAGUCCAGUUUCUAGUAAACAAAAGAUUAGCAUGCUUUUACAGCUCUUAGAAUAUUUAGCACUUAACCUUUACACCAGCAAAAUUAAAGUAAUUGCCUUUUAAACCACAAAUGCCAGUAAUAAAAGAGAUCUCCUUUGUUUGGGGUUGAAGUGUUCUUGUUUAUGAUUUCAAGGAAACAGGUUCAACUUAGUCUAACACUUCACAAAACCAAACACAGAUUCUUACUAGGCCACACACACACACACAGACACACACACACACAGACACACACACACACACAGCACACACACACACACACACACACACACACACACACAUUCAUUCCUUACUCUAACAAUGGUGUGAAACACAAUACAUGCCACUAUAAUGUUCCAUGCAUUUUCCACAAUGCAUCUUUAUCCACUGACAGCUAUUCAAAAGUAUCAAUUCUUUUUUUUUUUUUCUGGCUCUGUUGAUUGGCCCACAAACUUCCGUGCCCAGAUCUAAAUGUCUCUGAGUAAAGAUAGCAGAUUUCAAAUUGUGUACUCCCAUUGAGAUGAAUGGAAAUGCUAACAAAUUGCGAUGUCUAGGUUUUAAAGAUCUCUUUGCUAUAAACACAUUAACAUUCAUAGACUGAAGGAACAAUUAUAUGA